GACGAACGCUGGCGGCGUGCUUAACACAUGCAAGUCGAACGGAAAGGCCCUGCUUUUGUUGGGUGCUCGAGUGGCGAACGGGUGAGUAACACGUGAGUAACCUGCCCUUGACUUUGGGAUAACUUCAGGAAACUGGGGCUAAUACCGGAUAGGAUCUCCUGCUGCAUGGUGGGGGUUGGAAAGUUUCGGCGGUUGGGGAUGGACUCGCGGCUUAUCAGCUUGUUGGUGGGGUAGUGGCUUACCAAGGCUUUGACGGGUAGCCUGCCUGAGAGGGUGAACGGCCACAAUGGGACUGAGAUACGGCCCAGAAUCCUACGGGAGGCAGCAGUGGGGAAUAUUGCACAAUGGGCGGAAGCCUGAUGCAGCAACGCCGCGUGCGGGAUGACGGCCUUCGGGUUGUAAACCGCUUUCGAAUGUGACGAAGCGUGAGUGACGGUAAUGGGUAAAGAAGCACCGGCUAACUACGUG
rnacentral:rRNA from 1 species